rnacentral:lncRNA from 1 species
CACAAGAGAGGAAUAAGGGCUCCCUGGACACUUAGAUUACACAGAGACUCGAGUUUCUUCUCUCUGCUCCCAGGACGUUUAGUGCAUUUUAUAUGAAAUUGCUGCUUGAUACAUCAGUAGAAGUGGAAAAAGAGACGUCUCCUUACUUACUCAUUUUCUCCAUGAUGAACUGUUAAAAGAGGUGAAAUACCCAGAAAUAAAGUGGAAAAAAAAGAAGCA